rnacentral:rRNA from 1 species
UAAGGAAUAUUGGUCAAUGGACGCAAGUCUGAACCAGCCAUGCCGCGUGAAGGAUGAAGGUCCUCUGGAUUGUAAACUUCUUUUAUCUGGGACGAAAACGGGAUUUUUAUCUCAAUUGACGGUACCAGAGGAAUAAGCACCGGCUAACUCCGUGCCAGCAGCCGCGGUAAUACGGAGGGUGCGAGCGUUAUCCGGAUUUACUGGGUUUAAAGGGUGCGUAGGUGGGCUUAUAAGUCAGUGGUGAAAUCUCCGAGCUUAACUUGGAAACUGCCGUUGAUACUAUAGGUCUUGAAUUAUCUGGAGGCAAGCGGAAUAUGUUAUGUAGCGGUGAAAUGCUUAGAUAUGACAUAGAACACCAAUUGCGAAGGCAGCUUACUACAUAUAAAUUGACGCUGAGGCACGAAAGCGUGGGGAUCAAACA